ACUCAAAUGAAUAGACGGGGGCCCGCACAAGCGGUGGAGUAUGUGGUUUAAUUCGAAGCAACGCGAAGAACCUUACCAAGGCUUGACAUCCCGCCGACCGGAUUAGAGAUAGUCCCUCCCUUCGGGGCGGCGGAGACAGGUGGUGCAUGGUUGUCGUCAGCUCGUGCCGUGAGGUGUUGGGUUAAGUCCCGCAACGAGCGCAACCCUUGUUUUCAGUAGCCAACGGUUCGGCCGGGCACUCUGGAGAGACUGCCGUGGAUAACACGGAGGAAGGUGGGGACGACGUCAAAUCAUCAUGCCCCUUAUGUCUUGGGCUACACACGUACUACAAUGGGCGCGACAAAGCGAAGCAAAGGCGCAAGCCGGAGCAAAGCGCAAAAAAGCGCUCUCAGUUCGGAUUGUGGGCUGCAACCCGCCCGCAUGAAGUCGGAAUCGCUAGUAAUCGCGGAUCAGCAUGCCGCGGUGAAUACGUUCCCGGGCCUUGUACACACCGCCCGU
rnacentral:rRNA from 1 species